GAUGAACGCUAGCGGCAGGCCUAACACAUGCAAGUCGAGGGAGAAGCCCUUUCGGGGGCAGAAACCGGCGCACGGGUGCGUAACGCGUAUGCAACCUACCUUUCACAGGGGGAUAGCCCGAAGAAAUUUGGAUUAAUACCCCAUAAUAUUAUUGGAUGGCAUCAUUUGAUAAUUAAAACUGCGGUGGUGAAAGAUGGGCAUGCGUCCUAUUAGCUAGUUGGAGUGGUAACGGCACCCCAAGGCUACGAUAGGUAGGGGUCCUGAGAGGGAGAUCCCCCACACUGGUACUGAGACAGGGACCAGACUCCUACGGGAGGCAGCAGUGAGGAAUAUUGGUCAAUGGUCGGAAGACUGAACCAGCCAUGCCGCGUGCAGGAAGAAUGCCUUAUGGGUUGUAAACUGCUUUUAUAUGGGAAGAAUAAGGCGUACGUGUACGUUGAUGACGGUACCCAUAG
rnacentral:rRNA from 1 species